rnacentral:rRNA from 1 species
AUUGAACGCUGGCGGCAGGCUUAACACAUGCAAGUCGAGCGAGCGGCGGACGGGUGAGUAAUGUCUGGGGAUCUGCCUGAUGGAGGGGGAUAACUACUGGAAACGGUGGCUAAUACCGCAUACUAUCGGAUGUACCCAUAUGGGAUUAGCUAGUAGGUGGGGUAAAGGCUCACCUAGGCGACGAUCCCUAGCUGGUCUGAGAGGAUGAGCAGGCACACUGGGACUGAGACACGGCCCAGACUCCUACGGGAGGCAGCAGUGGGGAAUAUUGCACAAUGGGCGCAAGCCUGAUGCAGCCAUGCCGCGUGUAUGAAGAAGGCCUUAGGGUUGUAAAGUACUUUCAGCGAGGAGGCGUUACUCGCAGAAGAAGCACCGGCUAACUCCGUGCCAGCAGCCGCGGUAAUAC